rnacentral:misc_RNA from 1 species
GAUGAAGGAACGUAGCGAAAUGCGAUAAGUAAUGUGAAUUGCAGAAUUCAGUGAAUCAUCGAAUCUUUGAACGCACCUUGCACCCUUUGGACUGCUCCAAAGGGUAUGCUCGUUUGAGUGUCAUUGUACUCUCACACUCUCUGAUCCUUUGGAUUUGGGGAGCAGUGGACUUGGGUGCUUGCUGCUUCCUUGUGGCUCACCUGAAAUGCAUCAGUGCAUCUCUCGAUUGGACAUAGUACGGCGUGAUAAGUGUCUUCGCCGGCACCUCAUAUGAGGGUGGCCGAUCGGGAGCUCUGUGCUUUCAAACCGUCUUCGGACAACGCUGACAACUUGACCUCAAAUCGAGUAGGACUACCCGCUGAACUUAAGCAUAUCAAUAAGCGGAGGA